GUGGGGAAUCUUAGACAAUGGGGGAAACCCUGAUCUAGCCAUGCCGCGUGAGCGAUGAAGGCCUUAGGGUUGUAAAGCUCUUUCAGCUGGGAAGAUAAUGACGGUACCAGCAGAAGAAGCCCCGGCUAACUCCGUGCCAGCAGCCGCGGUAAUACGGAGGGGGCUAGCGUUGUUCGGAAUUACUGGGCGUAAAGCGCGCGUAGGCGGACCAGAAAGUUGGAGGUGAAAUCCCAGGGCUCAACCUUGGAACUGCCUUCAAAACUCCUGGUCUGGAGUUCGAGAGAGGGGAGUGGAAUUCCGAGUGUAGAGGUGAAAUUCGUAGAUAUUCGGAGGAACACCAGUGGCGAAGGCGGCUCACUGGCGCGAUACUGACGCUGAGGUGCGAAAGCGUGGGGAGCAAACAGGAUUAGAAACCCGUGUAGUCC
rnacentral:rRNA from 1 species